GUACCCCAAACCGACACAGGUGGUUGGGAUGAGUAUUCUAAGGCGCUUGAGAGAACUCGGGUGAAGGAACUAGGCAAAAUUGUACCGUAACUUCGGGAGAAGGUACGCCGCUGACGGUGACGAGACUUGCUCUCUGAGCUAUUGGCGGUCGCAGUGAAAAGGCCCCUGCAACUGUUUAUUAAAAACACAGCACUCUGCAAACGCGUAAGCGGACGUAUAGGGUGUGACGCCUGCCCGGUGCCGG
rnacentral:rRNA from 1 species